GCUGGCAUAGCUCAGUUGGUAGAGCAGCCGCCUUGUAAGCGGCAGGUCGGGGGUUCGAUUCCCUCUGCCAGCACCA
rnacentral:tRNA from 1 species